ACACAUGCAGUCGUACGAGAGUUUUUAACUCUAGUGGCGGACGGGUGAGUAACACGUGAGAAUUUACCUUUAGGAGGGGGACAACAGUUGGAAACGAAUGCUAAUACCCCAUAUGCUUUCGAGUGAAAUGGAUUUAUAUUUAUCCGCCUAGAGAGAAGCUCGCGGCUGAUUAGCUUGUUGGUAAGGUAAGAGCUUACCAAGGCGACGAUCAGUAUCUGGUUUGAGAGGACGAUCAGACACACUGGAACUGAGACACGGUCCAGACUCCUACGGGAGGCAGCAGUGGGGAAUUUUCCGCAAUGGGCGAAAGCCUGACGGAGCAAUACCGCGUGAGGGAAGACUGCCUAUGGGUUGUAAACCUCUUUUUUCAGGGAGGAAUAAAUGACGUGUACCUGAAGAAUAAGCAUCGGCCAACUCCGUGCCAGCAGCCGCGGUAAGACGGAGGAUGCAAGUGUUAUCCGGAAUCACUGGGCGUAAAGCGUCUGUAGGUGGUUUAAUAAGUCAACUGUUAAAUCUUGAGGCUCAACUUCAAAAUCGCAGUCGAAACUAUUAGACUAGAGUAUAGUAGAGGUAAAGGGAAUUUCCAGUGGAGCGGUGAAAUGCGUAGAUAUUGGAAAGAACACCGAUGGCGAAAGCACUUUACUGGGCUAUUACUAACACUCAGAGACGAAAGCUAGGGUAGCAAAUGGGAUUAGAUACCCCAGUAGUCCUAGCCGUAAACUAUGG
rnacentral:rRNA from 1 species